AUAAUACUCCAUAGAUUAGAGACACUGGAAUGUUCUUUAGUCGAAAGUUCUGGCGCCUUAGGAUGGAUCUGCGGUCGAUUAGGUUGUUGUUGGGGUAACGGCCCAACAAGCCUGUAAUCGAUACGGGUUUGUGGGAGCAAGAGCCCGGAGAUGGAAUCUGAGACACGAUUCCAGGCCCUACGGGGCGCAGCAGGCGCGAAAACUUUACAAUGCAGGAAACUGUGAUAAGGGAACUCCGAGUGCCCGUAUACGCGGGCUGUCCAGGUGUUUAAAAAUCAUCUGAAGAAAGGGCCGGGCAAGACCGGUGCCAGCCGCCGCGGUAAUACCGGCGGCUCGAGUGGUGGCCACUAUUAUUGGGCUUAAAGCGUCCGUAGCUGGACCGAUAAGUCUCUUGGGAAAUCCGCCGGCUCAACCGGCGGGCGUCUAAGGGAUACUGUUAGUCUAGGGACCGGGAGAGGUGAGAGGUACUCCGGGGGUAGGAGUGAAAUCCUGUAAUCCCCGGGGGACCACCGAUGGCGAAGGCAUCUCACCAGAACGGCUCCGACAGUGAGGGACGAAAGCUGGGGGAGCGAACCGGAUUAGAUACCCGGGUAGUCCCAGCCGUAAACUAUGCGCGUUAGGUGU
rnacentral:rRNA from 1 species